CGAGAAGACCCUAUGGAGCUUUAGACACUAAGGCAGCUCACCCCCCUCCCCCCUCCAAAAAAGGACUAAAUUAAGUGAUCCUGCCCUAAUGUCUUUGGUUGGGGCGACCUAGGGGCGACCGAGG
rnacentral:rRNA from 1 species